ACAGUUCUUGAAAGUGCCACAAGAGGAUGCUAGUGGGAAUCUAUAUAAUUGUUAUAAUUGGUCCAACAGUUUGCAAGGAAUCAACUAGGAGUGACUGAGAGGAGGCUCAGCUAUUUAUUCAUGUUCAUUUUGUUUUUCUAAGACUCCACGUUUAAAACACCAUCUGUAAACCUGCAUUGCAUGAAGGUCUUUUUGGGUGAGAGCUCUCAGAAGGAAUAGACACGGAUGUCUUCACUACAUCUCAGUAGCUUUACCACGAUUUGCUGUGUAACUGUGGACACACUGAUGCUCUUCCUGAGCACAGACGGUAUCCGGUAUUCCUAUGAUGGGGAGAACAGUGCUGAAGGGGCUGUAGGUACACGCCCCCUCUCCCUCACCUCUGCUGUAGGUACACGCCCCCU
rnacentral:lncRNA from 1 species